GAUGAACGCUAGCUACAGGCUUAACACAUGCAAGUCGAGGGGCAGCAUGGUCUUAGCUUGCUAAGGCCGAUGGCGACCGGCGCACGGGUGAGUAACACGUAUCCAACCUGCCGUCUACUCUUGGACAGCCUUCUGAAAGGAAGAUUAAUACAAGAUGGCAUCAUGAGUCCGCAUGUUCACAUGAUUAAAGGUAUUCUGGUAGACGAUGGGGAUGCGUUCCAUUAGAUAGUAGGCGGGGUAACGGCCCACCUAGUCUUCGAUGGAUAGGGGUUCUGAGAGGAAGGUCCCCCACAUUGGAACUGAGACACGGUCCAAACUCCUACGGGAGGCAGCAGUGAGGAAUAUUGGUCAAUGGGCGCAGGCCUGAACCAGCCAAGUAGCGUGAAGGAUGACUGCCCUAUGGGUUGUAAACUUCUUUUAUAAAGGAAUAAAGUCGGGUAUGCAUACCCGUUUGCAUGUACUUUAUGAAUAAGGAUCGGCUAACUCCGUGCCAGCAGCCGCGGUAAUACGGAGGAUCCGAGCGUUAUCCGGAUUUAUUGGGUUUAAAGGGAGCGUAGAUGGAUGUUUAAGUCAGUUGUGAAAGUUUGCGGCUCAACCGUAAAAUUGCAGUUGAUACUGGAUAUCUUGAGUGCAGUUGAGGCAGGCGGAAUUCGUGGUGUAGCGGUGAAAUGCUUAGAUAUCACGAAGAACUCCGAUUGCGAAGGCAG
rnacentral:rRNA from 1 species